AACGAACGCUGGCGGCAUGCCUAACACAUGCAAGUCGAACGAGACCUUCGGGUCUAGUGGCGCACGGGUGCGUAACGCGUGGGAAUCUGCCCUUCGGUUGGGAAUAACUGAGAGAAAUUUCAGCUAAUACCUUAUAAUGUCUUCGGACCAAAGAUUUAUCGCCGAGGGAUGAGCCCGCGUAGGAUUAGCUAGUUGGUGGGGUAAUGGCCUACCAAGGCGACGACCCUUAGCUGGUCUGAGAGGAUGAUCAGCCACACUGGGACUGAGACACGGCCCAGACUCCUACGGGAGGCAGCAGUGGGGAAUAUUGGACAAUGGGCGAAAGCCUGAUCCAGCAAUGCCGCGUGAGUGAUGAAGGCCUUAGGGUUGUAAAGCUCUUUUACCCGGGAUGAUAAUGACAGUACCGGGAGAAUAAGCUCCGGCUAACCCCGUGCCAGCAGCCGCCGUAA
rnacentral:rRNA from 1 species